rnacentral:misc_RNA from 1 species
GAUGAAGAACGCAGCGAAAUGCGAUAAGUAAUGUGAAUUGCAGAAUUUAGUGAAUCAUCGAAUGUUUGAACGCACAUUGCGCCCCCUGGCAUCCCGGGGGGCAUGCCUGUUCGAGCGUCAUUUAAACCUUCAAGCUAAGCUUGGUGUUGGGUGACUGUCCGCCUCACGGCGGACUCGCCUCAAAAUUAUUGGCGGCCGGUACAUUGGCUUCGAGCGCAGCAGAAACGCGAACUCGGGCCCGUCGUAUUGGCUCCCAGAAGCUAUCUUCACAAUUUUGACCUCGGAUCAGGUAGGGAUACCCGCUGAACUUAAGCAUAUCAAUAAGCGGAGGA